UGGGGAAUCUUGCACAAUGGGCGAAAGCCUGAUGCAGCGACGCCGCGUGAGCGAUGAAGGCCUUCGGGUUGUAAAGCUCUGUGGGGAGAGACGAAUAAGGUCUGGCUAAUAUCCAGAUUGAUGACGGUAUCUCCUUAGCAAGCACCGGCUAACUCUGUGCCAGCAGCCGCGGUAAGACAGAGGGUGCAAACGUUGUUCGGAAUUACUGGGCGUAAAGCGCGUGUAGGCGGUUAUGUAAGUCGGACGUGAAAUCCCAUGGCUCAACCGUGGAAGAGCGCUCGAAACUGCGUGACUUGAGUACUGGAGAGGAAGGCGGAAUACCUGGUGUAGAGGUGAAAUUCGUAGAUAUCAGGUAGAACAUCAGUGGCGAAGGCGGCCUUCUGGACAGUAACUGACGCUGAGACGCGAAAGCGUGGGGAGCAAACAGG
rnacentral:rRNA from 1 species